CCCCCCCCACCACUCCCCUUUUUAGCUAUUGCCAGAUACAACGUAGGAGACCAGAUCAGCGGGGGAGCUUAAAUGAAGCAAGAAAAUCGAUGGUGGAUGCGAGGGAGGAGCAGGACCCGACGAGGCAUCAUCGUCUCUCUACUCUCUCUCCCUUUCUCUCUCUACAGGCGGCGUUGCGGUCUGUCGUGCUGCCCGUGGAGGUAAAUUUUCGGUGGGUGGGACGCUGACGUGGACGUUCCAUCCAGGCUCAUCUAGUG
rnacentral:lncRNA from 1 species